rnacentral:rRNA from 1 species
GAUGAACGCUGGCGGCGUGCCUAACACAUGCAAGUCGAGCGAUUCUCUUCGGAGAAGAGCGGCGGACGGGUGAGUAACGCGUGGGUAACCUGCCCUGUACACACGGAUAACAUACCGAAAGGUAUGCCAAUACGAGAUAAUAUGCUUUUAUCGCAUGGUAGAAGUAUCAAAGCUCCGGCGGUACAGGAUGGACCCGCGUCUGAUUAGCUAGUUGGUAAGGUAGCGGCUUACCAAGGCGACGAUCAGUAGCCGACCUGAGAGGGUGAUCGGCCACAUUGGAACUGAGACACGGUCCAAACUCCUACGGGAGGCAGCAGUGGGGAAUAUUGCACAAUGGGCGAAAGCCUGAUGCAGCAACGCCGCGUGAGCGAUGAAGGCCUUCGGGUCGUAAAGCUCUGUCCUCAA